rnacentral:rRNA from 1 species
AAUUUUGGUCAUUGGGCGCAAGCCUGAUCCAGCCAUGCCGCGUGAGUGAAUUAGGCCAUCUGUUUGUAAAACUCUUUCGGUCGGAAAGAAUUCGCACAGGCUAAUAGCCUGCGCGGAUGACGGUACCGUCAUAAUACGCACCGGCUAACUACGUGCUAGAUGCCGCGGUAAUACGUAGGGUGCGAGCGUUAAUCGGAAUUACUGGCCGUAAAGCGUGCGCAGGCGGUUGAUUAAGACAGGCGUGAAAUCCCCGGGCUUAACCUGGGAACUGCGCUUGUGACUGGUCAGCUAGAGUACGGCAGAGGGGGGUGGAAUUCCACGUGUAGCAGUGAAAUGCGUAGAGAUGUGGAGGAACACCGAUGGCGAAGGCAGCCCCCUGGGCCGAUACUGACGCUCAUGCACGAAAGCGUGGGUAGCAAACAGG